ACUGACUGCUUGCGCAUGCGCAAAAUAUUCCCGUAAUGUUUCCCAUUAAACUGAAUUUUACCCGAAUUAUAUCCUGAAUAACAUAAAUUAUACAGACAAACUUCAUAAAGUCAGACACAGAGCUAUAUAGCUAGCUAGCUAGAUACAGAGCUGUAUUGGUUACAGCAGCAAUUUCUUUCUGAUAGAGUCGACUUUCACCAAGGUUAGUGUCAGAUGGGCGUGGCCUAUCCAUAUACAUGUAGGCUAUUGUCAGCCUUCCCCUCCGUUCAGAGGUCCACACUGUUGCAGGCUGUGAGUCCUUUGUUAACAUAGUAGGCUAAGGGUAGCUAUUAGAAUGCUAUCACACGGGCUAGUUGGGCGGAGUCCAACCAACGCUGCGCUCUGGGUUGGGUAUCAGUACAUGUAGCAGUUUUGUUCCACCGGUACUUGAGACAGAGUAUGAAUAUUGUUUAAUCUUUAAGUGGCUGACAACCGCAUGGCUCAGGGGUGCGAUAUAAAGAAAUCAAUUAACUAUUUGGAUGGCUAUUCUAGCUGACUGGAUCUAGCUAUAGUUGUUUUGGAAUUCAAGAAAGACCUCAGACUCUUAGAGAAAGUAGAAGAAUACUGUAGCCUGUAAUAUAAGAUUUAGUACAGGCAGAAAUAAACUUUUUCAUAAUAGUUAGACAUCUAGCACAAGGAGAGGUACAGCCAGCUAUAAGACUACCCCAAGGCUUCUGAGAAGCUUUUCGAAGACCAAAGAAGGCAUACAUAACACAGGUUUUGUCCAAACUAAUGAUCUAAUCUUAUUGGUAGCACAACAAAACUUAAAACAAAGACAAGUCCUUUUAAUUAAUUAAUACAUACUGUUCAAGCUUCAUUCAUAGAUGCUAAGAUAGACUAUGCUUCUUUUCUAGUAGCCUAGAUAUCCAGCAGGAGCUGUUUCUGCAUUCUCCAGAGAAAUACAGUGUCCCAGCUCGCCUUGUCAGCUAAAUUGAGCUGUAAGGUUUCCCACUUGAACGCAGCAAUCUGAUUGGGCUGCAAAUUUCUUGCAGUGGGAACAAAACUGCUACAUGUACUGAUACCCAACCAUGAGCGAAGCGUUGGUUGGACUCCGCCCAACUACACACGGGCUACAAUCACACUUCUAUCCACUUUCUUCAAUCCACUUCCGUUCGUUGUGACGUCAUUGUUUUACUGAGCAAAAUACAAUGGUAUCCGAAUUACCAACUUUCUGGGUAAUAGGUGGCGCAUGCGCAAACAGUCGAUACCAGGCCCUCUCUUAGCGGCCUGGAAUCGAGGCUAGUGCGAGACUAACUGUGCAGAUAGUGAAUAACCAUUAUUCAAGCUCUAUUUACCGUUGCAACUAUCUUCUUCAUUGAAUUUAGCAAUACCUCACAAGCCGAAACUUACUGAGUACGCUGAAGAAAAGAAGACAAAAGAAUACCCCUCUUCUCUACACCCCUACACGUACGUCACCGCCCUCGUAAAUGUUAUCGGCUGUUUCGGCUAUAUAUACACCCUUGUAUACCUCACCAGCUUCUCUCCAUCUAAGACUGUCUGAUUAGAGUAAACUAAUCAUAAUUAUAGCUAUAAUAAUCAUUUUUAUUGUGUAAGUUUUUGUUAAUAUUGUUCGGUUUGAUCCCACUCGUUUUACACUUAAAAAGCAACUGGCAGUGCUGUGGAGUGUUUUGCUGUCUCCAAGUGUAUGUAAUUAUACUUAAUGAAUUGGAAAUUGAAAUGUACGCUCACCAGCCUAUAUAGUAUAUAGAAACUUCGUACAAUUGAUUUAUCAAAAGUGAAAACAAUUAUUAAGAAAGUUACAUGGUGUAUUAUGUAUCUUGUCAUGUGAAUGAUCAUGGUUAUUGCCUCAAACUAGUGGACUUCUUGAUGGUUUUCUUUUUCAUUUAAGUUGGCAGCAAAAGAGAAGCCUCUGACAGUCACAAAUACAUUCACAAUUUCAGGGAACUUACUAAGCAUCCUCUGAUGAUUUUAUAUCUACUGUGAAACAAGUAUCCAAUAUGCACUAGCUCUGCACAUUCUCCUUACUAUUACCAUGUACCAAUGCACUGUUGAUUGUGUCUCUUUCCCUCUUCUUUCACCGCUAAUGCAACUAGUGUUCAAGCUGGCGCUGUACUAAUGCCUCUCGCCAUGUUUUUGCUUUCGCUCAAAAGUAUUAGAGUGUUAUAUUAGUUUCUAUAAUGACUUUUAUAUUAAAGUUAGCUUAUCUAUAUAAAGUCACUGAGAAGAAAAGACUUAUUUACAUGCAUCUAUUGUUGUUAUUAUUUAUUGUAUUGUGUGGCUUACCAGGACCUCAAGAAAGAAGAAAAUUGAUUCUUCCAGGAUCUGUAGUUCAGUGUAUAUAAUAUCUAAGAAGAAAAGACCUGUGUACAUGCAUAUUGUUAUCUAUAUUGUUAUAUGGUAGUGUUUUGUGGCUUACCAGGCCCUAAAGACAAAGAUGAUUCUGCCAAGAGGAUCUGGAUCUGGAUCUUGGAUAUUAUUUUCUCACACAUGGGGAAUGAGCGCGCAUGCGCAUUACAUCCAUAGGAAUAAUUAAAGGGUGUGUUCGUAGACAUGAAAGCGACUAAAUACAGGAAUAUGUCCAAUGUCCACCUUUGAACCUUGGAUAUAAACACACGUUUUAAUGGUAAAAAACGGUUAAUAUUCAAACUGUCAAAUCACCAUUUUCCGUUCAGAGCUUGAGAGAUAUAUGAGAGCUAGCUAGCUAGCUAGUUAGGGCCUGGGGCUAGAGGGAACAGACUGCAGUCAUUGCUAGCCUCCUUGUGGUGAACCAUGUAUCCUCUACUAUCUAUGGCACAAGUCGUACUGUACAAGUGAAAGCAAUCCUUGAGAUCUGCAAUGUCUUGGUCUACAAAGAGUCUGUCGUUCACUUCUCAUUUCUGGAUUCUUUACCCAUGUUCCUGUGCAUCAUUGCUGUGUGGCUUGUGCUACACUGAGUACAUAUUCAAAUUUUGAGUGGAGUUCUACUGGGGGUAUUGUAGCAUUGUCCUUGGGACCGAGGCUAUAGGACAAAUCAGACUGCUCUGCCUCAUAAGUGAAGAGGCGAACACAAAUUAAUGGCAGAAUGUUCUUUCACAAUAAUGAUUGUUUUUUGUGCAAUAAAACAAUGUUUGCUGUAUUAAUUUCAAUAGUCUUACAACAUGUUGGGAUGCAUGAGCACAUUAAUUUUAAUACCCUGUAUGGAUCUGCACUAGAUCUAGUAUUAAUUGAAGAUUUAAAGUUUCAUGUGCUUCUUGUCAUAAUCCUCUGGAGCCGCCCGCGCCCCCACAUCACAGACAAAAAUUAAUUAUAAGGUCAAAGUUCAUGGACAUAUUCCUGUCUUUAGGCUUUCGUAAAGAGAUCAAUUUCACAAAUGGCUACUGCUAGCUAGCUGUUUUAACAGAUAUUUUCUGAGUAUUGUAGCUAACAAAAAGCUAGCGCUUUAGUACAAGGCUAACUCAUAUGUUGAAUAGAAAGUUUGU